GCAAACGGCUGUUAACCGUUGGGUCGUAGGUUCGAGUCCUACAUUAGGCG
rnacentral:tRNA from 1 species